rnacentral:lncRNA from 1 species
UCCUGAUGGGUUUUGCACAUUUCUUAUUGUCUUCCCUAGAUGAUUGCAGAAAACUGGUCCUGAGAAAGGAAAAAUUACAACUUUCACAAAUUGCACUACAAACAUCAGAAAAAGGGUGGUGUGGUUUAGCUUGAAGAAGGUUGCUUGUCAAACAUAAGCAGCAGCAGGACUGCUGUAUACAGCAGGGCAAGUUGUGCAUUGCACAACUCCAUGGAGUACCAUCACAAUGAUACGAAUGAUAACAACCCUUGUGUUAUACAGUGUGGCCCUACCUAGAAAACAGUGGUCUUCCUAGGGAACAGAUGUGUCGGCUGCAAGAGAGCUCAGACAGUGGUUUCUCUUCUGGAAUCCUCGAAUAAAUCUAUACAUUAGCGUGGGGUCUCAGAGUGGGCAGGUGAGAAGGAUAGGCGAGGACCUGUGGAUUAAGGGCAGAGUUUUGUGACAACAUCCAUCCAGGGCAGAACUGUCAGUGCCUGCAUCACUUUCUCCAAUAACUAAAUGUGAAUGAAUUUUAGGGUGAGCUGGAAAAGCAGCUUCUACAAGCAAACCCCAUUCUGGAGGCUUUUGGGAAUGCCAAAACAGUCAAGAAUGACAACUCCUCACGAUUUGGCAAAUUCAUCCGCAUCAACUUUGACGUCACGGGUUACAUCGUGGGAGCCAACAUUGAGACGUAUCUGCUAGAAAAAUCACGUGCAAUUCGCCAAGCGAGAGAGGAGAGGACAUUCCACAUCUUUUACUAUCUGAUCGCUGGAGCCAAGGAGAAGAUGAAAAGUAAGUGAUGGGCCAGACAUGGAGAACAGAUGUGUGGCUGCCAACAGGGAGGGGGAGGAAGUGGGAUGGACAAAGAGUCUGGGGUUAGUAGAUGCAAACUAUGACAUUUAGAAUGGAUGAGCAAUGAGGUCUUGAUGUACAGCACAGGGAACCAUAUCCAAUCACUUGUGAUAGAACAUGAUAGAAGAUAAUAUGAGAAAAAGAAUGUAUGUAGAUGAAUAACUGGGUCACUUUGCUGUACAGCAGAAAUUGACAGAACAUUGUAAAUCAACUACAAUAAAAGCUUUUUUAAAAAAAAUGUGUGUGAGGGG